UUGGAGAUGAGACUUGCUUGUAA
rnacentral:snRNA from 1 species